ensembl:lncRNA
CCCACCCCCUCCACCACAGGAAAAUCAUGAAUAGUUUAAUUCCUCUGAUUCUCCAAGCUGCUACCAUGUCUUUACCUCUUCUUACUCCUCUUUAAUUGCGUGGUCAUCGUCUCUCUCGUGCUUAGCGUGCACCGAGAAAUAAACACGACAGGUACGACGACCCCCCCGCGUCUCCUCUGUGUCGUGCACGUUUUACGAAAGCUGCAGGACUUGGAGAGGGGGGGGGGGGGUGCGCACGCGCGCGCAGCGGGAGGAGUGUGGAGUGGACGCGGCGGCGAGUGCAGCCGAGCGAAGCCGAAGAACUCCGCUGACCGACCGGCACGGACGCAGAGGGAAGCGUGACUUGUGGAGGAAGAGACGUAAAAGGAAGAAGAAGAAAAAAAAAAGAAAAAACUCCCCAACCUUCCACGGCUCAGUUCGACACUUGGAGCGAGAGGCUCACGUGAGAGCCGGUUCGCGGCGCGAGGAACGGCAGCGGCCGCGACAGACCCGGAUAGACCCCGGUCUCCACCAGGACCUCGUGUUCGUCUGGACUCGUAUCCCCCGACACACACACACACACACGCGCACCAUACCAGCACCUCUUCAUUUACUUGGCGCUAACUCGCGCGUUCUGCGGCGGCUCAGUGGCGCGCGGUGGAUUUGUUUCGCGUGCUCGCCAGCUGGAGACGGGAGGAGGAAGCGCGCGGGUCUCGGAGCCGGAGAGAAAUGCCCACGGCGGCGACGAAGAGGAGCUUCAGUGUUAGUCUUUGAUCCUGUCAGAGUGGGACGCGUCUAGCAGGGGACUGAGGAGGGAGCAGUGCCGACUCGGAAACAUGGGGCCCAGCCGUCACCUGGCAGUGCCCCUCCUGCCCAGAGAGGCGUUGCCGCUCCUGCUGCUGCUCUGCUGCAUGGUGUUCUCCUCCAAGGCAGAGAGUGGUACAAUUCCUCCGGAUGUUCGAAGCACAAAUAUGUGCAAGACAUCCUCGGGCGGCGGCAAC